UGAAAUUAUUGUAAUUUAUCAUAUAAUUUUUGGGGAGUUUAAAUGGUUAUCUUAUAAAGGAUAAAAGUGAGAACGUGAGAAAUUAGCUAAUAUUUCUAUACUCAGUGAGCUCUUUCUUAACAAAGCCAGAAUGAGAGAUCUGCUCUUCUGAUAAUCAGACAAUGCUCUGUCUCUUGUAUGGGGAUUGCUUCUCACAAGUUUUGCUUUCUCUUCUCUGCUAUGUAGUUCUCAGAUAAUAAUCUAUGCCUUCUGGAAACAGCUGGUUUAAUUGUUCCAUAAAGCAUACUGUUAUGCUGUGGAAUAAUCUUGAAGGGUCCUAAUGGAUGAUUUUGUGGUAUUUGCACUCAAAUAGUAAACAAACGUCUCAAUUUUUACUAGUAGGGACUGGACAGUUGUGUCUGCCAUUUCCUUCAAACAACUUAGGACACCCUAAUAUAUCCUGAAGACCUAAUGUUCUCAGAAUAUCCUGAGCUUGUCUCAUCCUUCUUAUUUCUUGAUGAACAGUAAAGAUGAAAGAUUCAUUAUGAAGAGAAAUACAGGGUACUUCACAUAUGUUUGUGGAAAAUUCAAAUCCAGUUUGUAUAGCCUAUAUAUGUGCGUAUACAUGUGUACAUAUGAAAACUAGACUUCUGAUAGUAAGAAGAAAUGGGAAAAUCUUUCUGUUCUUCCAUCUUUCCUGAAAUACAGUCCUUGGAUUUACUAGUAUGAUAUAUUUCAAAAAAUAUUAGAAUUUUUAAAAUUUUUUUCAUUCUAUCCAAAUCAAUUAAAUUAGAAACUCAUUUGAAAAAUUAAGAAAUUUUGUUCCUUUCUUCACAUCUUAGCUGUAUGUAUUUUCUUUGUACCAAGUUACUAUAAUGUUAGGUAGAGAAAUCAUUAUCCUUUAAGAAGACAGUAAAUAUUAAUAUUUUAUGGCACAUCUGAAUCUGAAACUCAUAGAAAAAUACUAGCACAACUAUUUAAACUUUUCUUUACCUUGAUUUGGAGAUUACUUGCCA
rnacentral:lncRNA from 1 species